UCGUGAAGAACUCGUGGGGGCCGGAGUGGGGCGAGAAGGGGUACAUCCGCAUGAAGCGCGAUGUGAAAGACAAGGAGGGGCUCUGCGGCAUCGCCAUGGAGGCGUCCUACCCCGUCAAGACCUCAGCCAACCCAAAGCAUGCCGAUGCCCAUGACGAGCUCUGAAUUUCUCGUCGAUUAUCUAACAAAUUAUUGGCCCCAAUAUGCAUGAUCAGGGCAUUAAUUAUCGCUAGGAAAAAAAUAAACAGUCAAUCGUUAUGUACCCAUCACAUACAAUGCACUACUAUUUAAUUGUUUGUAUCUAAACAGUUUACUAUCUCUAAUUUAUGCUCUCUCUGAAAAAAGAACUUCAUAGAUGUGCAAAACUUCUGGGGGCCAUGCCCCCCCCCCUCCUUCCCCGAGUUGCACUAACCUCUGUCGGUGUUUCCUUUGGUCCGGAUCAGAUAAGACUAUCGGUACAAAGUGCCACUACAACAUGGUACAAAAUAGAAGGCACUAAAAAUGCUUUUAAAUGGUGAAAUAAUACCUUUGAAGAAGUAAGGAGGCGUCUGAAGAAAACGCAUGAUCACCAAGGCAAAGGUCUACAUAAAAGGAACAAGUCGGUGGGUCUUGGUCUUGAUGAUGCCCGAUGGACUCUGCUGGACCUACACCUACCAGCAAUCCAUCUGUGCAGUCAUUUCUUCUGAAGUUUCUUAAGCUAACCCCCUGUCACCAGCUAAGAGCGAAAUGUCUUCUGAACUUGUCAUUCCUUCUGAAACGUUGUCGAUGUUUGCUGCUUUUAAGUACGUCUAACUCUUGUUCCAUAAGCAACAUGGGACUAAAAUGGUUGGAGUCUGACCAACCUCGCAUGACGUGACGGGACCGAGCUGGACCAUGGCGUGACGGCGGUGGGAUACGACACCACCGUGGAUGGCACCAAGUAUUGGAUCGUGAAGAACUCAUGGGGGCCGGAGUGGGGUGAGAAGGGGUACAUCCGCAUGAAGCGUGAUGUGAAAGACAAGGAGGGGCUCUGCGGCAUCGCCAUGGAGGCGUCCUGCCCCGUCAAGACCUCAGCCAACCCGAAGCAUGCCAGUGCCAAUGACAAGCUCUGAAUCUCUCAUCGAUUGUCUAGCAAAUUAUUGGCCCCAAUAUGCAUGAUCAGGGCAUUAUCGCUAUGGAAAA
rnacentral:lncRNA from 1 species